UAGGGAAUCUUCCGCAAUGGGCGAAAGCCUGACGGAGCAACGCCGCGUGAGUGAUGAAGGUCUUCGGAUCGUAAAACUCUGUUAUUAGGGAAGAACAAAUGUGUAAGUAACUAUGCACGUCUUGACGGUACCUAAUCAGAAAGCCACGGCUAACUACGUGCCAGCAGCCGCGGUAAUACGUAGGUGGCAAGCGUUAUCCGGAAUUAUUGGGCGUAAAGCGCGCGUAGGCGGUUUUUUAAGUCUGAUGUGAAAGCCCACGGCUCAACCGUGGAGGGUCAUUGGAAACUGGAAAACUUGAGUGCAGAAGAGGAAAGUGGAAUUCCAUGUGUAGCGGUGAAAUGCGCAGCGAUAUGGAGGAACACCAGUGGCGAAGGCGCCUUUCUGGUCUGUAACUGACGCUGAUGUGCGAAAGCGUGGGGAUCAAACAGG
rnacentral:rRNA from 1 species